rnacentral:rRNA from 1 species
UGGGGAAUCUUGCGCAAUGGGCGAAAGCCUGACGCAGCGACGCCGCGUGGGUGACGAAGGCCUUCGGGUUGUAAAGCCCUGUGGGGGGAGACGAACCGGGUCGUGGCUAAUAUCCACGGUCCUUGACGGUAUCCCUUUAGCAAGCAUCGGCUAACUCUGUGCCAGCAGCCGCGGUAAGACAGAGGAUGCAAACGUUGCUCGGAAUUACUGGGCGUAAAGCGCGCGCAGGUGGUCCGGUAAGUCGGGUGUGAAAUCCCGGGGCUCAACCUCGGAAGUGCACUCGAUACUGCUAGACUUGAGUACUGGAGAGGAGAGCGGAAUUCCCGGUGUAGAGGUGAAAUUCGUAGAUAUCGGGAGGAACACCAGUGGCGAAGGCGGCUCUCUGGACAGAUACUGACACUGAGGCGCGAAAGCGUGGGAAGCAAACA